rnacentral:lncRNA from 1 species
GGUUGGUCCCGGCGGGGGAAGGAGAAAGUGAGACUCGGUGUCAUCACCAAUCCGUCGCCAGAAGGGGAGGAAACUGGAAUCCAGCAGCGGCGAGCAGCAGCUGGGCGGUCACAUCUGGAAAUGGAAAGCCGACCUCCCCCUCCUCCUCCACCUCUUCCUCCUCCUCCUCCUCCUCCUCUCACCCAGGAUCACUUCCGAAACCACUUGGCCUUCAGCCCCUGCCUCGGCCAGAGGUUUCAUUUUUAACUGAAUAUUUACGAAAGCUGAAAGCGUGCGAGGGGGGUGGGGUGGAAAUAGCGGCUGCUUCUUUUCCAAGGAUUUAUUUAAUGGGGAUGUGUUCAAGGCAAGACCGAAUUCAGAAGGAUAUCGACGUCGUGAUCCAGAAGUCCAGAGCUGAGGACUGCCUGUUUGCAGAUUUCAGGUACUCAGACUCCACCUUUACUUUUACCUAUGUUGGCGGCCCCAGAAGGACAACUGUGCAGACUACAAAGCUUCGGAAAACCGGAGAGGCUGAGUCGACUAAUCGUGUUGUUGCACGUUAGAAACGCUUGCAUUGCCUGACUCUGAAACCAGAAGGGCGGCCGAAUGGCCUUCACCCUCCAUUAACCCUCGCCUCCUUCAGAAGCCAGUGCCUCUGGAAAUGCCUGGAUCUGCGACCCCAGCCUGAGCCUAGUAGGGCCCAAGGGAAGCUGAACGCCCCGACGGCUCUCAUGGUAGAGAGCGCAGCCCUCUUCUAGCACAAACACCGUUUCCCACAUUGAAGAAAUCACAGAGAUCAGCAACUCUAGAGUGCGAUGAAGAAGCUUCACUCUGGGAGAACCCCCUUCGUGACCACGGUCUCUUUCCUGCCAGGGCACCGGCAACAGUUUUCCGUUUGUGCCUACUCCACCUGCUGUCUUUGUUGGGUCAGCGAACAUCGCCUCCCUCUACCGCUCAAUCAGCAAAAGGGACCGCCCUUGAGGACCUCACCCGCGGCUCACUCCCCUCCCAACUUCGCGGGCAUCGCCUCCGGUCGCCUCUUCCGAAGGCCUAACGAGCAUGUUAGCUGCGAACGGAGGUGAGGAGGCUCCGCUGACUGACCGGUGCCCAUGUCCAGGGCACGCACAAACGCCAUGACUUGGCUUGGCCUCUCUCUUAGUUAUUCACAAGCUCAGCCCGAUAGGCACCUCUGGGGCGGCGACGGCAAAGAGGGUGCGCUUAUUAAGUGCAGCUCCACGGGGACUGGCCUCUGCACGGCUGUGUACACCUGAGCGAGACGCUCAGUCGCUCUCUAAAGCCGCUUCUGCGGAUGACAGACACGGAGAUAAACGUGAGAGGUGGCCCACCACGACUUGCCCUCCUUUGCCCGGGUUUGCCCCUCGCUGCGGAGGCUGUUCUACAUCUGGCCCUUGGAGCAGGCCGGCUGACAGCGUGGUAAAGGAAGAUUUCUGCGGGAGGGCGGCCAGUGCAAAACAAUUCCCUGACCGGGAAUCGAACCCGGGCCGUGGCGCUUUCAGCACCGAAUCCUAGCCACUAGACAACCAUGCAGAUGCGGAAAGCUGCUUUCUCUCCCUUCUUCGACCUGAAGCGACACUUUCCUGUGCUCUAGGAGGACUUGGGUCUUGUGAGAGUCUCCCUUUGCUCCUGGAGUCGUCUCACAAGGCCGUUCACUCCCUGCUUUCUUCAAAAAAAGAACCUGCAGGCGACACACCAAGGGCUCCACGAGGGAGUCCUGAGUACUGGAGCGAGUUGCGGCCACGCGGCCGCAGCUCACCACUGGCCUAGAGAUGCCCUUUGCCAGGCGGCAGCAACUGACAAGAUGGUCGCGGGUCGCCGGGUCCGGAGCCGCCCACCAGGUUGCCAGGAGGAGGCGGGAGCGGGGAGGCGCCCGAGGUGAGACGGGGGCACCCUCUGCAUCAUAAAGGACCCAGACCCCGGCACCCUCAACAUCAUAAGGAAUCAGACGGAUGCGGAAACCGAGGCGGGCUGGAUAGGAAACUCUUUCCAGGAAGGCUCCGGGGCACUCAACUGGUCUCCAACCUUCCCCUGCAACCUGUGACGCCUGCCAUUUUCCCAUUUUAGGCGAUGGCAACGCAACCCCUCCGUUUGCUCUGGGCAAAACUUCGAGAGUUCCCUCUGAAGCUGGAGCUUUUUCCUCAGAUCCAAGAUCCAAUUGGUCACCAAUUCGUGAUUUCCGUCGGCCAAGUGCGUGGGCAUUGAUCUACACGCGAGUUUCUCCACCUCUGCCGAAUGGCUACUUCGGGGUGGGGGAGGGGCCCUCCCGCCGUGGAUUGCAAGGUGUUUAGCAGCAUCUGUCUCCUCCGCUGACUAGACACAUGCCAGGGGGAUAACAUUCUCCCUCCCGCUUCCCCCAGCCGCGGCCUAGUGUCCCAGCGGGGUUGGGAGAGGCAUGUGAGGGCGAAGUUGCCCCCUGUUGAGAACCAUUGCUGCGCGUAGUCCUUCUCUCUGAACUUGUGCAGAGGACUCUCCAGGUGAAGGCUCAAGGGUGGAUCCAGCUCGAGACACCCUCGCUCCCCCUCACAGUCGGACCUUAGGAUUUAGGCUUUAACAUCUCCACAUCAUGAGAUUCGAAACCUUUAGGUCUUGUCUUCCGUUCUGUCCUCCAAAUCGGCCUCUUCCGAGCCUGUUGACCAGGGCCAGCCGGGCAGAGGGCUGGGCUCGCUCAACGAGGCUCCUCUCGCACCUCCUGGAGCUUCAGGCUUCUUUCCGUUGCAGAGAAGCUUUAUGGGCCAAUUCGUUCGGCAUCCCCGGGGGCAGGUGCGCGGUGCGCGGGGAAGAAGAGGAUUUGACUGCGGUUCUCCACCCCCGGCGCCCAACCUCCACCCCGGUGCGCGCGCUCUUCCAGGCUCCUGCUGGUCCCACUUGCCAGGAGUUAGGUCUCAGGUCAGCCUGAGCUCCUGAGACGCCCAGGCCCGGAAAGACACGUAGGGGAAACCAUCUGCUCACUUCUGUCCUGUCCGGAAGGGAUCCCUUUCUGACGGGAAAGAAAGGCGCUAAACAAGCACUGGCCUUGAGAUAAGCAAUGCUGAAGCACUUGCAGCUCACCUAUUACCAUAAACUGACUGAGCCCUCCCUACACAAGCCGUAACUACUGCUUUGAUUGGACAAGAGACUGAUUUCAGUAGUUUUCUCUUGAUAAGAGACCACUGGCCGUGGGCGGGUUCUGGACAGUUUACAGAAGCUAUGCACUUGAUUGCCUUUGUGUCCCUGCUUCACCUUUUGAAGCAUAGGGCCUAAUUAUAAUGUAUUUAAAUGUUGUCUCCACCCCAAAGUGAACAUGGGUUGCAUGUAACAGGCAUGUUUACUCAGCAUGCAUGCAGCAGGAUCCCUUCACAAAUAUUCAGAGCUCCCCCUAUUCCCUGUUGAAUAUGUAUAUGUGGCCAGCCAGAUCAACGUAAAUCACUAUUCGCCCUCCCCUCCCUGGAAACCUACUUUUCGGGUUUCAGCAGGAAGCUAUGCCUCCCAGUCUGUCAGAAUGGCCACUUGCAGGCUGUAACCCUUUAUAAAAAAAUAAAAUCUCCUUUCUAAAUUUA